UGUCAUUUCGAGGGUUUGAAAGUUACUGGGGAGCGACGGUGGGUUCCGGUGUCGAAUCUGACACUUCCGGGAGUCCGAAUUUGAACGAUUAUCCGACGAUAGUUGUUUGGUUGUGUAUUCUUGUGUUUGCUGCCAAGACAUCCUAUUUGAUGUGUUUUGUGGUAGCAGGUGACUCGUAUCUCGAGUCGGUGAGUUCCGGGAUAUUUCGGGGGUCCCGACGGAGUUCCGGUGCGGUUUCGGGACUUCCGGCGAGUUACGGAAGUCGGUUUUGGGAAACCGAUCUCCGUGGGUUAAUUGUGAGGUUAUGCUUUUAGUAUUUCUUAGUUGUGGGUUAGAUAUUAACCCGGUGGACUCUCUGUAGGUCCGGUUGACAUUCUUUCGCAGUCAGGAGACAGGCGCGACAUCCUUACAGGUGGGUACUUCGAUCCGACGUCGGUACAGUGGUGCACGCUCGGUGAUGGUUUCUUACCCUUACUCUGCUGUUGUUACUAUUGCAUAGUAUAUAUUGAGCCUUGCACCCAUGUUAUUCCAUUAUACUCUGCUCGUUGUUUGCAUGCUUAGUAUCCUGAGUAGGAAUAGAGUAGUUCUAUCUAAAUGCAUACCUGUUGACCUGGUUGGUCGGUUGUUGCAUUCUGUAUCUGUUGACCUGGUUGGUCAGUUGUUGCAUUCCGUAUCUGUUGACCUGAUUGGUCGGUUCUCGUACUUCGUAUUAGUGACCUUGCUGGUCGGUUGGACUCUGUGGACCUUGGGUCCAUGCAACACAUUGACUCUCUUGUCAUGUGUUUCGAUCUGGUUGAUCGUGGUUCGGCGUUAUACGCCCUUGUUUCUGGCUUCGGCCUAGGCACCGGCUUCAGUCGGUUUUUGUUUGAGCAUACCAGCAUGACUUAGUCACAGCACUUGGGGGUGUUCACGACACCGGGUCGGUUUUGCCACCGACCGGAGGUGUGCUUAUCCGGAUGGUAGGGCGGGUGAAUCAGGUUGGUGCAGGUUAGUGACAGGCAGUGCUUGAGGUCUGCGGACCAAUAUAGCAGGUACCGGAUUGGGUAUAUUUGGACUUCUUGUCCGGUUGACGCAUAUAGCUAUAGUAGAGGUUGUUGCUUGUAUACCUUCAGUUCUUUCUUUACACUUGUCUUGCUACUAUAUUUUGUUGCAUGUAUACUUUCAGUUGUUCAUUACAGUAGCAGUAGUUGUACUUUUAUUUAUAUAUAUGUCUCUUUCGUUCAUUAUUAUUGCUAUUGUAUUUCCACUGACCCGUACUGUUGUUUAGCUCUUCCUGAUCCGAUGAGUACUUCUCGCCUUCAUCGACUUGCGGUACCCACUAGGAGGGGAGACAUGUUUACAUGUUCUCACCUCCCCGACCAUUUUUCAGGUAUCGCGGGCGGUGAGAGUUGAGACGAGACGUGAGACACGUUCGUAGCGGUCGAUAGAGCUUCCGACCCAGGUUAUUCGGUUUAGUUUCUACCCUUACUAUUAUGUUGAUAUAGCUCAGAUAGUUUAUAUGGUUCAGUAUUUUUAUUACAUUUGAAAAUGUAGGUUUUCAUGAAUGUAAUAAAUGGAUUUGUGGAUUUUGUGAAAUGAAAAAUAGUUUUCUACCCCUUGUGGUAGCGCGUUUUAAAAGAAAAGAGUUUUCGUGUGGGAAACAGCUUUCAAAAGAUUUUUCAUAGUUUUCAUAACUUAGUAUUUCAAAAUUCGUUUCUGAGUUGGAAACGUUUUAACUGAUAGUUGUGAUUUUAUGUUCAAAUCAUGAAUGUGAACUGGUGGUGAAUGGUGUAUUGAUAUAUAUAGAUGUUGGAUGUCUGUAUGUUCAGUGUAGCAGUUGUAUCCUGGUUUGUACUUGUACUUGUGCGACGUUGUGCAAAUGCAGGGGAGACUCAGUCCGUGUGAACAGUGGAUUCCCUGUAUUUGUGGCGGAUCUGGCAUACCUCGUGGUCAGAUUUUUUUUUUUAAAAAAAAAAAUCCGCUGUGUUUUAA
rnacentral:lncRNA from 1 species